AGUGAACGCUGGCGGUAGGCCUAACACAUGCAAGUCGAACGGCAGCACAGUAAGAGCUUGCUCUUACGGGUGGCGAGUGGCGGACGGGUGAGGAAUACAUCAGAGUCUACUUUUUCGUGGGGGAUAACGUAGGGAAACUUACGCUAAUACCGCAUACGACCUACGGGUGAAAGCAGGGGAUCUUCGGACCUUGCGCGAUUGAAUGAGCCGAUGUCGGAUUAGCUAGUUGGCGGGGUAAAGGCCCACCAAGGCGACGAUCCGUAGCUGGUCUGAGAGGAUGAGCAGCCACACUGGAACUGAGACACGGUCCAGACUCCUACGGGAGGCAGCAGUGGGGAAUAUUGGACAAUGGGCGCAAGCCUGAUCCAGCCAUACCGCGUGGGUGAAGAAGGCCUUCGGGUUGUAAAGCCCUUUUGUUGGGAAAGAAAAGCAGCAGGUUAAUACCCCGCUGUUCUGACGGUACCAAAAGAAUAAGCACCGGCUAACUUCGU
rnacentral:rRNA from 1 species